rnacentral:rRNA from 1 species
AACGAACGCUGGCGGCGCGCCUAAUACAUGCAAGUCGAGCGAGAAGACGUAGCAAUACGUUUGUAAAGCGGCGAACGGGUGAGGAAUACAUGGGUAACCUACCCUCGAGUGGGGAAGUAACUAGCCGAAAGGUUAGCUAAUACCGCGUACGCUCCUUGGACUUCGGUUCAGGGAGGAAAGCGAUACCGUGGGUAUCGCGCUCUUGGAUGGGCUCAUGUCCUAUCAGCUUGUUGGUGAGGUAACGGCUCACCAAGGCUUCGACGGGUAGCUGGUCUGAGAGGACGAUCAGCCACACUGGCACUGCGACACGGGCCAGACUCCUACGGGAGGCAGCAGUAAGGAAUAUUGCGCAAU